UACGUAGGUGGCAAGCGUUAUCCGGAUUUAUUGGGCGUAAAGGGAACGCAGGCGGUCUUUUAAGUCUGAUGUGAAAGCCUUCGGCUUAACCGGAGUAGUGCAUUGGAAACUGGGAGACUUGAGUGCAGAAGAGGAGAGUGGAACUCCAUGUGUAGCGGUGAAAUGCGUAGAUAUAUGGAAGAACACCAGUGGCGAAAGCGGCUCUCUGGUCUGUAACUGACGCUGAGGCACGAAAGCGUGGGGAUCAAACAGG
rnacentral:rRNA from 1 species